rnacentral:rRNA from 1 species
CACGGGGGGCUGCAGUGGGGAAUAUUGGACAAUGGGCGAAAGCCUGAUCCAGCCAUGCCGCGUGUGUGAAGAAGGCCUUCGGGUUGUAAAGCACUUUCAGUGGGGAAGAAAGCCUUGGGGCUAAUACCCUCGAGGAAGGACAUCACCCACAGAAGAAGCACCGGCUAACUCCGUGCCAGCAGCCGCGGUAAUACGGAGGGUGCGAGCGUUAAUCGGAAUUACUGGGCGUAAAGCGCGCGUAGGCGGUCUGAUAAGCCGGUUGUGAAAGCCCCGGGCUCAACCUGGGAACGGCAUCCGGAACUGUCAGGCUAGAGUGCAGGAGAGGAAGGUAGAAUUCCCGGUGUAGCGGUGAAAUGCGUAGAGAUCGGGAGGAAUACCAGUGGCGAAGGCGGCCUUCUGGACUGACACUGACGCUGAGGUGCGAAAGCGUGGGUAGCAAACAGGAUUAGAUACCCGGGUAGUC